rnacentral:sRNA from 1 species
ACCAGGCGUGGUGACGCACACCUGUAAUCCCAGCACCUCGGGAGGUUGAGGCAGGAGAACUGCAAGUUCAAGGCCAGACUCAGCAACUUGAUAAGGCCCUGAGCAACUUAGCAAGCCCCUGUCUCAA